rnacentral:rRNA from 1 species
UACAGAGGUGGCAAGCGUUGUUCGGAAUUACUGGGCGUAAAGGGCGCGUAGGCGGCCAUCUAAGUCAGACGUGAAAUUCCCCGGCUUAACCUGGGAACUGCGUCUGAUACUGGACGGCUUGAGUAUGGGAGAGGGAUGUAGAAUUCCAGGUGUAGCGGUGAAAUGCGUAGAUAUCUGGAGGAAUACCGGUGGCGAAGGCGGCAUCCUGGACCAUUACUGACGCUGAUGCGCGAAAGCUAGGGGAGCAAACGGG